rnacentral:tRNA from 1 species
CAAAAAGUAGUUUAAUUUAGAAUACUAGCUUUGGGAGUUAGUGGUGGAGGUUAGAUUCCUUCUUUUUUGA